AUUGAACGCUGGCGGCAGGCCUAACCCAUGCAAGUCGAGAGAGCGGCGGACGGAUGAGUAAUGUAUGGGGAUCUGCCCGAUAGAGGGGGAUAACUACGGGAAACUGUAGCUAAUACAGCGUACCAUAGGAUGAGACCAAGUGGGAUUAGGUAGUUGGUGAGGGAAAGACGCCCCAAGCAGCCUAUCUCUAGCUGGUCUGAGAGGAUGACCAGCCACACUGGGACGGAGCAACGGCCCAGACUCCUACGGGAGGCAGCAGUGGGGAAUAUUGCGCAAUGGUGGCAACCUGACGCAGCCAUGCCGCGUGAAUGAAGAAGGCCUUCGGGUUGUAAAGUUCUUUCGGUAGCGAGGCGUUAACUACAGAAGAAGCACCGGCUAACUCCGUGCCAGCAGCCGCGGUAAUUC
rnacentral:rRNA from 1 species